rnacentral:misc_RNA from 1 species
CCGUGCUGCGCGCCGCGGCCUUGCGCCUGCGCUCUGCGUCUGCGCCUGCUGCGGCGCCUCGGCGCGCUCCUGCGCAG